AACGAACGUUAGCGGCGCGCCUAACACAUGCAAGUCGCACGAGAAAGGGCUUCGGCCCCGGUAAAGUGGCGCACGGGUGAGUAACACGUGGGUAAUCUUCCCUCGAGCGGGGGAUAACAUUCCGAAAGGAGUGCUAAUACCGCAUAAGACCACGUCCUCGAAAGAGGAUGCGGUCAAAGCUGGCCUCUAUAUAUAAGCUAGCACUUGAGGAUGAGCCCGCGGCCCAUCAGGCAGUUGGCAGGGUAAUGGCCUACCAAACCUAAGACGGGU
rnacentral:rRNA from 1 species